rnacentral:lncRNA from 1 species
CUCUAGCAUUUAACCUCACUGAGCCUCAGUUUUCCUACUAGUCAAAUGGAGAUACCAAGGAAUCAACUGUCUGGAUUACAGCCAGGAUCACAAACAAUCGGAGUGAAAACAAUGCUUUGAACCAAACUACGUGGUGUGAUUUAAGGCAGUUUAUCUUGGAUGAGUAAAGCUUUGCAAUAUGCAAAGUUGGAGACCUUCCUCUGGCUUUCUAACUACGUCCCCACACCUGGUGGGACCGCAGAAUGUAAAAGACAGGUUGCAUGUUUUCAGCUUCUAUCUCUUAUGUGCCAGAAAAUACCAUCUCUGUUUAUGAUACAGAAUAACGAGCUUGGAGAAGACCAGUCACUUGGCCAGGGCGUCAU